GCUGAAGCAUGGUGAAAGGAUUCCCACAUGAUAGAACCCUGGUGAAAGGAUUCCAACAUAACAGCCGUUGUAGUCCUAUGAGGGGAAUCCCACGUAAUAGCCAUCGAAGCCCGAUGAAAGGAUUCCCACAUGAUAGCCAUUGCCAGUCAAAUAAUUAUUUCCAAGUUAGCACAGUGCAUCUUCAUCAAUCACUCAACUUUGUUAAGACCAGCUUUAUAAACGGGAGACCAAAAAAUUCCCCUGGCUAACCAAUCAUGCUCCUUCACUCUUAUGAAUACUGCUCAACAUUGAUUCAUUUAUAUGGAAAAUAUAUUAUGGCUUUAGAUUGUGGCUUUAGAUCAGUGCUUACAUAACAUGUGCUUUAUGGUGGACAUCUGGCCACAUGGCACAAAUACUUUCAGGGGGCUCUGAACAAUAAAAUAAGCAGAGACCAAACGGCAGCAGAAGACAGAAUACAUCGUUUUAGCACUACAAGCUGAGAAAACGUAAAGCUCAGAUUACAUCAUAUUAUAACAUCAGGCAUAUGCUCGGGACAGAUGAAAAGUCACGUCAAGGUUUGGACUAACGUUGAAGCCCGUGAGUAACACAGAAAACUGUUUAUAGGUUCCCUAUAGUUUACCUGGCAAACUGCUUGUACGUUUCUGUCCAUUUCAUCAACCAGAAGCAUAGCUUCUAAACAGAAAGAGACACACUGACAGCUAUUGUGUUUCUGUUGUAUGUACUGUAUGUCCUGUAGGAGUUAUAACUCUUGAAAUGAGUAUAUUCUUAGUCUAUUUAGUAAACCACUGUUUUGUUUUUUUGUUGAUUUUAUUUUAGUCCAUUACAUUGAUAUUAUACUGUAUACUGUAAAUGCUGUGUAACAUACUGACUUAUUCAAUAUUACUCUGUUGUGAAGUAGUUCUUUUCCAAAGGUAUAUGUUUUGUUCCUUUAACAUGCGUUCCUUUCUGGCUAAAACAGGACUUGUUUUGAUUGGUUGGGCCUGGAAGAACGUUGCCAUGAAACCGGACAAAGCCAGUCAGGCCCUUUUCUCCAGAGGUUAACAUCUUAAUCUGAAGGUUUCCUGACAAACUAAAAGCCGCUGGCAAAAACGAAGAGCAACACAUUGCCUUUUUCCGAAAGGGCUACAGAGUGAGAACUCUUGUGCCACUUUAUACAAGCAGUUUAAUUCAGCCUUUCAUUCUUUUUUUUUAAAUGAUCCUAGCAAAAUGUAUUGUUGUUAUAGAUAUUUUUUAUUCAAAAUAAGAUCUAGAUUUUAUACAUGAUUCUCUCUUUUUUGACUAUGUACAGAAGUGCAAGAAAGUCAACCUUCUUCACCUACAAUGCUGUGAAAAAGUAUUUGCCCCUUUAAAAAAACAAAAACAUUCUCCACUUUUGCAUAUUUUUGAUAUUGAAUGUUAUCAGAUCUUCAACAAAAAAACGAAUAUUAGAUCAAGAGAAACUGAGUGAACAAAUAUCACAAUAUUUACAUAUAUAUUUCAUAAACAAAGUUCUGUAACACCCAAUGCCUCUGUGUGAAAAAUUAAUUGCCCCCUUACACUCAAUAAUUGGUUGUUCCACCUUUAGCUGCAAUGACCAGGCUGUAUCACAUCCAGUCAUGAUUGGGAGUCCCAUAUGGCGGUGCAUAAUUGGCCCAGCAUCGUCCGGGUUUGGCCGGGGUAGGCUGUCAUUGUAAAUAACCAUUUCUUCUUAUUAUUAACUGACAUGCCUUUUUAAAUAAAAUAAACAUAUAUUUUUUAAUGAAAUAAAAAUUACUCCAACCAAACACUUCCUGUAGAUGUUGAUUAGUUUCUCACGUCACUGGGGAGGAAGUUUGGCCCACUCUCCCAUGCAGAACUGCUUUAACUCAGCCUCAUUUGUGGGUUUUCAAGCAGGAACUGUCGUUUCAAGUCCUGCCACAACAUCUCAAUUGGGAUUAAGUCUGGACUAGGCCAUUCCAAAACGUGUUGCUUUUUAGCCAUUUUCAUGUAGACUUGAUUGUGUGUUUUGGAUCAUUGUCUUGCUGCAGGACCCAGCUUUUUCCAUUAUGCCUGGUUAAAACCAAACACUGCAUUCCACAGUAAGAACCUUAUACCAAUGGUCAAGCAUGGUGGUGGUAGUGUGAUGGUUUGGGGAUGCUUUGCUGCCUCAGGACCUGGACAACUUGCCUUAAAACUUCUUCGGGAUCGAUGUCCCUUCCACAGGACGGUUGAGCUAACGUAGGCUAAUGCGAUUAGCAUGAGGUUAUAACUAGCAAGAAAAUUUCCCAGGACAUAGAUAUAUCUGAUAUUGGCAGAAUGCUUAAAUUAUUGUUAAUCUAACUGCACUGUCCAAUUUACAGUAGCUAUUACAGUGAAAGAAUACCAUGCUAUUGUUUGAGGAGAGUGCACAGUUUUGAACAUGAAAAGUUAUUAAUGGAAGGAACCAUUAAUUCUGCUCUGUAUCAGAGAUUUCUUCAGGCGAAUGUCAGGCCAUUCGUCUGUAAGCUGAACAUGAAGCGAGCGGGGUCAUGCAGCAAGGCAAUGAUCCAAAACGCACAAUUGUUUACAUGAAAAUGGUAAAAAAAGCAACAAAUUUGGCCUAGUCAAAGUCCAGACCUAAUCCCUAUUGAGAUGUUGUUGCCGGACUUGAAACGACAGUUAAUGCUUGAAAACCCACAAAUGUUGUUGAGUUAAAGUGGUCAUUCAUGCAUGUAAGAGUGAAAAUACCUCCACAGCAACGUGAGGGACUGGUCAACAGCUACAGGAAGUGUUUGGUUGCAGUCAUUGCAGCUAAAGGUGGCACAACCAGUAAUUGAGCGUGAGGGGGCAAUUCGUUUUUUCACACAGGGGAUUUGGGUGUUGCAUAACCUUGUUAAUAAAAUAGAAUAAGUAUCCAUUUUUGUUGUUAUUUGUAAACGCAGGUUCUCUUUAUCUAAUAUUAGGUUUUGGUUGAAGAUCUGAUAACAUUCAGUAUCAAAUAUAUGCAAAAAUCGAGAAAAUCAGAAUUGGGCAAAAUACUUUUCCACAGCCCUGUAGGUUUUCCCUUGCUUGUUUGUGGCUAAGUAAAGAGAUCAGUGUGCGUACUCCAUGCUCGACCCGCCUCCGACCCCUGACCUCAACUGUAACGCCCCCUAAGAGUGAUCAAAUAUGCAGCUAUAUUUUCAACAUGGCCUGACAUCCAGGGAGAUUACAAAUAUUCAAACAAUAGUUACUAUUUGAAGAGAAUACAGUAGAAAAUGUUUUUUUUUUUUUUUAAACCUACACAUCUAAGAAUGAGAUUUUUUUAUAAUAUUUUUUUCCUUAUAAGAGUGACUAGUUACAAACCAGACGAUCAUUCAAAUAAUACUCCACUGUCAGUGAGUGUUGUCACAGCAAGCCUCUCACUCUCCUAGUAUUUCCUCAAAGUCAGAUACCCACACAAAAGAUCUUUGUUCAAGGAACUCAAACAGACAAGAAAUUAAAAUAAUUCUUAAGAGUUCACAGAAAAUAAAAAUCAUUCAGUUUACAAUCAUAACACUACAGUAAAUAUUCAAAUCAACAUUACAGGAAAUUUCAGAAAACUAAAAUAUGGUAUGAAGAACACAAAACACACACAUAUUACCUACUAUUCAGAAUCCUACAAAAGUUACGGGUAAAAUCUAGUAAGACAAAACUCCUUUAACUAAAUAUAAAAAAUGUAAUCCGUGCAUUUAAACAAAAUAAAAUAAGACAUUAAUCUUCUUGAAAAAAACUAACUCAACAAGAAAUACAUGUUUAGAGUGAAAGACAACAAUCAUAUAUACCACGAAAGCUUUGUGUGGCGACAAAACAGCAAGGGUUAGGCAAGAGGACGAUUUGAAAUGGCUUGUUGCAUUGUGCCGACCUCGUGGUGUUUUCUAAGGCUUUGGAUGAGUAAUACAAUCAGGUCAAGCUCUUCCAUACCAUGUCUUUUCAUACAAGGCAUGCAGAAGCAUGAGGGUUUAAUAAACCAAAAAACAAUCUACACUCCCCCACGCUUCCAUACACAAAUUUACACUCACCCCCCUCUUGUCCAUACACAACUUCAUCUGUGAUUUUGGCCCCACACAUUUGCUGAACAGAGCUCCACUAGUGCACCCACAUAUGUCAACACAGAACACAGAAGAAAAAUACCAGAAAAACAUUUGACUGUAUCUAUCCAAAAGCAUCCAUACUAUCACACAUUAAAAUACACAUAAUGUGUCUUCACAAGUUCUCUCACAUAUCAUAGACCAUAUAAACUGCACUUAAUAAAACAUACAAUUAAAAAAAAUCAUUAAAUUAAUUAUAAUAAAAUGAAAACCACACCAUGUUAGAACAAAUCAACCAUAAGCCACCCUGUAACUCUUGGAAAGUGCUCCUCACUCCACUCAGCCGUUUGGUUUAACACGCAACUUUCAGGAGUUCUUCAUUCUAUCCUUCCUUUUUAACAGUCUCCACCCCUUCUUCGUCACAAGUGAGACUUUUGGCAUAAUAUUGGGUCCAGGGCCAAAGCCCCAUUCAUUAAGCCUUUACAGUCUAUAAACUUUAUACUCAGAGACAGAGAGGACUGGGUCCUAACAGAACCAACUAAAGUCUAUAGCCUUUAUACCCAGAGAGGACUGG
rnacentral:lncRNA from 13 species